GGUGCCAAAUAUCUCGUUCAAUCUAACAAAAUAUGUUUAUAAAUUAAUUAAAAAUGUGUGAGAAAAAUAAGAGAUAAGUAGAAGGAAGACUAGAAAAAGGGAGGACAAGAAUGAAAGGAGUAGAUGUGGUGCAAAAACAAUGACGAUAGUGUAAUGACAACAAUGGUAUGGUGACAAUAGAAAAACGAUGAUAGUGUUGGAGGUGGUGAUGGCAAAAGGAGAAAAAGGAAGAAUGAGAAGGAGUCAAUAGUAGUAACAAUAAUUUUGUUGGACAAAAAGAAGUAGCAAAGAAGGAGGAAGAAGAACAAAAAAAAGGAAAAAUAAAAGGUAGAAUAGAAAAGGAGGAGGAUGAAGAAGAAUAACAAAAUUAGAAUAUUUAUUGAAGAACUUUACCAACGAAUAAUAGAGUGAGUUUACCUGUAGAAGAGUGCUUUAUGAAUCGAAUAUGAUCUCUUUGGUUUUGUCUGUAUCCCAAGGAAACCAUUGCUUUUGUAAAUCUUCCAAACCAUGCUCUAGGGGACUGUUUAAGACCAUACAAUGCUUUCUUUAGGAGGUUGUUGGGGCAAAUCGGCAAGUGUACCGAGUCACACAAGUAAUAUAAAAUGGUAAGACCAAGUAUCGUAUCCCAGAGGACUCUCGGCGCUGAACAGUUGUGUAAAAACAAGAUUAAUUAAGACUUAGAGUAAAUAGUAAAAUAAUAAGGUUGAUUUAUAUGAGAUGAGUAUGUUGUUGAGGGUUAGAUUUCACCAAGUUCCCUGUCAUGUAUUUAAGAAUUCUUCUUUAUUCAUUAAUGUCAAUGUCC
rnacentral:lncRNA from 1 species